AAAGGAUCAAGCUUUAGAAGGUCUUAUAUUCAAAUCUUGCCAGGGUGAGUGAAGGAUUUAUGGUGGGCCCAUUCAUGUUUGGGUUUAGGCAUUAAUGUUAGAUUAAUUCAACAUAAUUAUGUAGGUUAGGCCUUAAUAGUCAUGCCGGGUCCAGGCUAGUGUUAAGCUGUAAAAACAAAAGCUUCAUCCUGAUUUGAGCCUAACUUGAUACACUUUUAAAUAAAAUUUGUCACUAUUUUAAAUUUUUCAUUUUUAUUUUCUAUAUUUUAAAAUUAAAAUUUGCAUUAGAGAUUACAUGGUUCAAAGCAUAACAUGUCAUGAAUUACUUAAUUAAUGAAAUUUUCCAAUUUUAGUUCCGCUUGUGAUAUUGGAAGCUUCUGCAAAGUUUUUCAUUGGAGUUCUAAUGGAUGGAGAAGUUGUGUUACUUGUGAAGGGGUGAGCUACAAUCACAACUCUCUCUAUAUAUAUGUUCUGCAUGCCCAUUUCCCUUUUAUAGUUUCGUAUUCAGUAGUAUUUCUAUUUCAAAAUGUUGUGUUUGUUCUUUCCCAUUUUUAAAAAAUUUUCUACUAUACUAAUGUUAUAAUUUUCCUUCCUAGCUUGUUCACUGCGGAUGUAUCAUGUCAGAACAUACACAUUUGAUACUGGAUACUGGAUACUGGAUACUGGAUACUGGAGGGGUUAAAUGCAUGGGUUGCAUAACCAGAGAAUUCAUUCAAGGAAGUACUAAUCAGGAUCCACAGUCUUCCUCAGACUCUGCUCUCCAAGGCAAUUGGCAGCAAUUGAGAGAUCCCUCUGAAAGUUGCUGAAAGGUGAAAACUCUCGUGUGCUAAAGCCUUAGCCCUGGAAAAUAAAGAAAUUGGUAGUCUGAUCCAUUUUCAAUUCGCUCAGAUGUAUAUUCUAAAACAUAGAACAGGACUAUACAUAUACAGGGCUAGCUUCUACCUGCUGCACCUGCAUGUCAGGUUUAUUUACUUUUAGACUAUAAAUCAUGCAUGGGAAACCCUGACCGUUGCUUGGAAAUUAAAUCAAAAUGUUUAAUAAUUAAGCAA